UACGAAGGGGGCUAGCGUUGCUCGGAAUCACUGGGCGUAAAGCGCACGUUAGGCGGCUUUUUAAGUCAGAGGUGAAAUCCUGGAGCUCAACUCCAGAACUGCCUUUGAUACUGGAGAGCUUGAGUCCGGGAGAGGUGAGUGGAACUGCGAGUGUAGAGGUGAAAUUCGUAGAUAUUCGCAAGAACACCAGUGGCGAAGGCGGCUCACUGGCCCGGUACUGACGCUGAGGUGCGAAAGCGUGGGAGCAAACAGG
rnacentral:rRNA from 1 species